GACGAACGCUGUCGGCGUGCUUAACACAUGCAAGUCGAACGGAAAGGCCCUGCUUUUGUGGGGUGCUCGAGUGGCGAACGGGUGAGUAACACGUGAGUAACCUGCCCUUGACUUUGGGAUAACUUCAGGAAACUGGGGCUAAUACCGGAUAGGAGCUCCUGCUGCAUGGUGGGGGUUGGAAAGUUUCGGCGGUUGGGGAUGGACUCGCGGCUUAUCAGCUUGUUGGUGGGGUAGUGGCUUACCAAGGCUUUGACGGGUAGCCGGCCUGAGAGGGUGACCGGCCACAUUGGGACUGAGAUACGGCCCAGACUCCUACGGGAGGCAGCAGUGGGGAAUAUUGCACAAUGGGCGGAAGCCUGAUGCAGCAACGCCGCGUGCGGGAUGACGGCCUUCGGGUUGUAAACCGCUUUCGCCUGUGACGAAGCGUGAGUGACGGUAAUGGGUAAAGAAGCACCGGCUAACUACGUGCCAGCAGCCGCGGUGAUACGUAGGGUGCGAGCGUUGUCCGGAUUUAUUGGGCGUAAAGGGCUCGUAGGUGGUUGAUCGCGUCGGAAGUGUAAUCUUGGGGCUUAACCCUGAGCGUGCUUUCGAUACGGGUUGACUUGAGGAAGGUAGGGGAGAAUGGAAUUCCUGGUGGAGCGGUGGAAUGCGCAGAUAUCAGGAGGAACACCAGUGGCGAAGGCGGUUCUCUGGGCCUUUCCUGACGCUGAGGAGCGAAAGCGUGGGGAGCGAACAGGCUUAGAUACCCUGGUAGUCCACGCUGUAAACGGUGGGUACUAGGUGUGGGGUCCAUUCCACGGGUUCCGUGCCGUAGCUAACGCUUUAAGUACCCCGCCUGGGGAGUACGGCCGCAAGGCUAAAACUCAAAGGAACUGACGGGGCCCCGCACAAGCGGCGGAGCAUGCGGAUUAAUUCGAUGCAACGCGUAGAACCUUACCUGGGUUUGACAUGGAUCGGGAGUGCUCAGAGAUGGGUGUGCCUCUUUUGGGGUCGGUUCACAGGUGGUGCAUGGCUGUCGUCAGCUCGUGUCGUGAGAUGUUGGGUUAAGUCCCGCAACGAGCGCAACCCUUGUUCACUGUUGCCAGCACGUUAUGGUGGGGACUCAGUGGAGACCGCCGGGGUCAACUCGGAGGAAGGUGGGGAUGACGUCAAGUCAUCAUGCCCCUUAUGUCCAGGGCUUCACGCAUGCUACAAUGGCUGGUACAGAGAGUGGCGAGCCUGUGAGGGUGAGCGAAUCUCGGAAAGCCGGUCUCAGUUCGGAUUGGGGUCUGCAACUCGACCUCAUGAAGUCGGAGUCGCUAGUAAUCGCAGAUCAGCAACGCUGCGGUGAAUACGUUCCCGGG
rnacentral:rRNA from 1 species